rnacentral:rRNA from 1 species
GAUGAACGCUGGCGGCGUGCCUAAUACAUGCAAGUCGAGCGAACGGACGAGAAGCUUGUUUCUCUGAUGUUAGCGGCGGACGGGUGAGUAACACGUGGAUAAUCUACCUAUAAGACGGGUAUAACUUCGGGAAACCGGAGCUAAUACCGGAUGAUAUUUUGAACCGCAUGGUUCAAAAGUGAAAGACGGUCUUGCUGUCACUAAUAGAUGGAUCCGCGCUGCUUUGGCUAGUUGGUAAGGUAACGGCUUACCAAGGCAACGAGGCAUAGCCGACUUGGGAGGGUGAUCGGCCACAUUGGAACUGGAACCCGGUCCAGACGCCUACGGGAGGCAGCAGUAGGGUACUUUACGCAAUGGGGGAAAGCCUGACGGAGCAACCCCGAGUGAGUGAUAAAGAUCUCGGGAUCGUAAAGCUCUGUUAUUAGGGAAGAACAUAUGUGUAAGUAAAUGUACACAUCUUGACGGUAACUAAUAAGAAAGCAACGGCUAACUACGUG